CCCAUAGAGAACUAAACAAUGCUAAAGCUGGGGUCGAAGAAAGAGUUCAGAAGAAAGGUUUAUUUUGAUUGGGUUGGUCCCUAUGCUGAAAGAAUAGGUUCCAAAUGGAAAAGUAAGGAAUAAAAACUGACAUUCCAGUAACAACAUCCACUUUGUCUUUAGGUAUAAAUUUGGUAAUUAGUGGGUGUCUCACUAAAAUGUUCUGCAGGUGUAUCACUCAACACUCAAUUUUCUCUCGGUUUUUGGGUAAGGGUGUCACUCACGAGUUCUGUAAGUGUAUCCCUCCACACAAAUACUGAGCUUCCAAAAUG
rnacentral:lncRNA from 1 species